UCUGACACCAAGAUUGUCCAGACUGGCUUCACCUGCUAUUGCAAUGGAGACUGGAUUCAAAGCAAUUACUUUAAUCUACAGUUGUAGGAAAUCCCUGCUCAUCUGUGAUUAUGGAAAACAAAACUGUAGGGGAUGCCUGAAGCCAUUCAUCAGGUGGGAAAAACAGAUUCAGCCGAGUCAGGUGCCUGUUGGUGAGACAAGUCCCUACUGUAAGGAGGCACCAGUCUAAGCGGGAGAAGUUGUAAGAGUUGUGAUUCAAAUUCAAAUAGGACAUAAGAUCCGA